rnacentral:lncRNA from 1 species
CAAAGGUUAUGUAAUAUUAAUAGUGAUUUAAAGAAUAUUGUAGAGAGCAAAUACUUUGGUCAAUUUCAACUUCUUUUUUGGGAAAAUUGUGAGUUACUUGAAAAAAGUGCAAGGCUGCCAAUAAGAUCCUGUAUAUUGCUACUGACCCUGGACCUAACCCUGUAUAUAGCUACUGACCCUUGAACUCAUCCUGUAUAUAGCUACUGACCCUGGAACUCACCCUGUAUAUAGCUACUGACCCUGGAACUCACCCUAUAUAUAGCUUACAUAGUUUCUUGUGUUCUUAUUUUUGUUAUACUUUACUUUAAAAAAUAAAUAAUACUACUGAUAUUGAUUACUGCACUGUUGGGAAAAACCCUGCAAGGCAUUUCACUGUACUUGUGCAUGUGACAAUAUAAACUUGAUUAGAAAAGGGUAGAGGAGGAGAAGAUGAGGAGGUAGAGAAGAUGAGGAGGAAUAGAGAGAAGCUGAGGAGAAGAUGAGGAGGUGGAGAUGAAUAGAGAGAAGAUGAGGAGGUGGAGAGGAGGAAUAGAGAGAAGAUGAGAAGAGGAAUAGAUAUAGGUUCAGGAAGUGGAGAUGAGGAAUAGGGAGAAGAUGAAGAGGUGGAAAUGAGGAAUAGAGAGAAGAUGAGGAGGAAAAGAGAGAAGAUGAGGAGGUGGAGAGGAGGAAUAGAGAAGAUGAGGUGGAGAGAGAAGAUGUGGAUAAAUAGACAGAAGAUGAGGAUGAAUAGAGAGAAUGCAAGGAGGAUUUGAGAUAAAAUGAGGAUGUAGAGAGGAGGAAUAGAGAGAAGAUGAUGAGGAAUAGAGAGAAGAUGAGGAGGAAUAGAGAUGAGGAGCAAUAGAGAGAAGAUGAGGUGGAGAGGAGGAAUAGAGAGAUGAGGAGGAGGAAUAGAGAGAAGAUGAGGUGGAGAGAGAAGAUGAGGAGGAAUAGAGACGAUGAGGAGGUGGAGGAAUAGAGAAGAUGAGGAGGGGGAGAGGAGGAAUAGAGAGAAGAUGAGGUGGAGAGGAGAAAUGGAGAGAAAAUGAGGAGGUGGAGAGGAGGAAUAAAGAAUAUAAGAAGGGAUAGAGAUAAGAUGAGGUGGGG